rnacentral:rRNA from 1 species
AUUGAACGCUGGCGGCAGGCCUAACACAUGCAAGUCGAGCGAGCGGCGGACGGGUGAGUAGUGUAUGAGGAUCUGCCCGAUAGAGGGGGAUAACUACUGGAAACGGUGGCAAAUACCGCAUACUAUCGGCUGAACCCAUAUGGGAUUAGCUAGUGGGGGGGGUAAAGGAUCACCAAGGCGACGAUCUCUAGCUGGUCGGAGAGGAUGAUCAGCCACACGGGGACUGAGACACGGCCCAGACUCCUACGGGAGGCAGCAGUGGGGAAUAUUGCACAAUGGGCGCAAGCCUGAGGCAGCCACGCCGCGUGUAUGAAGAAGGCCUUCGGGUUGUAAAGUUCUGUCAGCGGGGAGGCGUUACCUGCAGAAGAAGCACCGGCUAACUCCGUGCCAGCAGCCGCGGUAAUAC